AUCUUAAAAGAUAUUCGAUGAAAUUGGAAUGGUAAAGAGUAGAUCAGCUUGGCCCUUGCACAAGUAUGGCACACACUACUAGUAGCAGCAAAUUUGUUUU
rnacentral:snRNA from 1 species